UACGUAGGGGGCAAGCGUUGUCCGGAAUCAUUGGGCGUAAAGAGCUCGUAGGCGGUUUGUCACGUCGGGUGUGAAAGUCCGGGGCUCAACUCCGGAUCUGCGGUGGGUACGGGCAGACUAGAGUGAUGUAGGGGAGACUGGAAUUCCUGGUGUAGCGGUGAAAUGCGCAGAUAUCAGGAGGAACACCGAUGGCGAAGGCAGGUCUCUGGGCAUUAACUGACGCUGAGGAGCGAAAGCAUGGGGAGCGAACAGG
rnacentral:rRNA from 1 species